UCGGAGAGUUUGAUCCUGGCUCAGGACGAACGCUGGCGGCGUGCCUAAUACAUGCAAGUCGAGCGGACAGAAGGGAGCUUGCUCCCGGAUGUUAGCGGCGGACGGGUGAGUAACACGUGGGUAACCUGCCUGUAAGACUGGGAUAACUCCGGGAAACCGGAGCUAAUACCGGAUAGUUCCUUGAACCGCAUGGUUCAAGGAUGAAAGACGGUUUCGGCUGUCACUUACAGAUGGACCCGCGGCGCAUUAGCUAGUUGGUGGGGUAAUGGCUCACCAAGGCGACGAUGCGUAGCCGACCUGAGAGGGUGAUCGGCCACACUGGGACUGAGACACGGCCCAGACUCCUACGGGAGGCAGC
rnacentral:rRNA from 1 species